GGCCAGGUAGCUCAGUUGGUAGAGCAGAGGACUGAAAAUCCUCGUGUCGGCGGUUCGAUUCCGUCCCUGGCCA
rnacentral:tRNA from 3 species